rnacentral:lncRNA from 1 species
CUUUCCUUCUCAAGGUGUCCAAGACACACAGGGCCACGGAAUCUCACAGGUGUCUGAGAAUUCCUCCUCCUGGGACUCUCAGAGGAUCCAGAACUGCAGCCGGUCCUCGCUUUGCUGUCCCUGUCCCUGUCCAUGUAUCUGGUCACGGUGCUGAGGAACCUGCUCAGCAUACCGGCUGUCAGCUCUGACUCCCCCCUCCACACCCCCACGUAAUUCUUCCUCUCCAACCUGUGCUGGGCUGACAUGGGUUUCACCUCAGCCACGGUUCCCAAGAUGAUUGUGGACAUGCAGUCACAUAGCAGAGUCAUCUCUCAUGCGGGCUGCCUGACACAGAUGUAUUUCUUGGUCCUUUUUGCAUGUAUAGAAGGCAUGCUCCUGACUGUGAUGGCCUAUGACUGCUUUGUAGACAUCUGUGGCCCUCUGCACUAUCCAGUCAUCGUGAAUCCUCACCUCUGUAUCUUCUUCGUCUUGGUGUCCUUUUUCCUCAGCCUGUUGGAUUCCCAGCUGCACAGUUGGAUUGUGUUAUAACUCACCAUCAUCAAGAAUGUGGAAAUCUCUCAUUUUGUCUGUGACCCCUCUCAACCUCUCAAACUUGCCUGUUCUGACAGCGUCAUCAAUAGCAUAUUCAUAUAUUUCGAUAGUACUAUGUUUGGUUUUCUUCCCAUUUCAGGGAUCCUUUUGUCUUACUAUAAAACUGUCCCCUCCAUUCUAAGGAUUUCAUCGUCAGAUGGGAAGUAUAAAGCUUUCUCCACCUGUGGCUCUCACCUAGCAGCUGUUUGCUGAUUUUAUGGAGCAGACAUUGUCGUGUACCUGGCUUCAGCUGUGUCACCACCCCCCAGGAGUGGUGUGGUGGCAUCAGUGAUGUACGCUGUGGUCACCCCCAUGCUGAACCUUUUCAUGUACAGCCUGAGAAACAGGGACAUACAAAGUGCCCUGCGGAGGCUGCGCAGCAGAACAGUGGAAUCUC